rnacentral:rRNA from 1 species
UCGAGCGAGUCUGCCUUGAAGAUCGGAGUGCUUGCACUCUGUGAAGCAAGAUACAGGCUAGCGGCGGACGGGUGAGUAACACGUGGGUAACCUGCCCAAGAGAUCGGGAUAACACCUGGAAACAGAUGCUAAUACCGGAUAACAACAGAUGAUGCCUAUCAACUGUUUAAAAGAUGGUUCUGCUAUCACUCUUGGAUGGACCUGCGGUGCAUUAGCUAGUUGGUAGGGUAACGGCCUACCAAGGCGAUGAUGCAUAGCCGAGUUGAGAGACUGAUCGGCCACAUUGGGACUGAGACACGGCCCAAACUCCUACGGGAGGCAGCAGUAGGGAAUCUUCCACAAUGGACGCAAGUCUGAUGGAGCAACGCCGCGUGAGUGAAGAAGGGUUUCGGCUCGUAAAGCUCUGUUGUUGGUGAAGAAGGACAGGGGUAGUAACUGACCUUUGUUUGACGGUAAUCAAUUAGAAAGUCACGGCUAACUACGUGCCAGCAGCCGCGGUAAUACAUAGGUGGCAAGCGUUGUCCGGAUUUAUUGGGCGUAAAGCGAGUGCAGGCGGCUCGAUAAGUCUGAUGUGAAAGCCUUCGGCUCAACCGGAGAAUUGCAUCAGAAACUGUCGAGCUUGAGUACAGAAGAGGAGAGUGGAACUCCAUGUGUAGCGGUGAAAUGCGUAGAUAUAUGGAAGAACACCGGUGGCGAAGGCGGCUCUCUGGUCUGUUACUGACGCUGAGGCUCGAAAGCAUGGGUAGCGAACAGGAUUAGAUACCCUGGUAGUCCAUGCCGUANACGAUGAGUGCUAAGUGUUGGGAGGUUUCCGCCUCUCA